AUUUCUGGCGGGAUGCUAAAGCAUACAACCUGUUCUGACCAAUACUAAAACUAGGAGAAGUAAUAGAAGAAGAUGCCAUACCACCAGAUGUAGAAGUAGAAGAUGAAGCCACCAAAAUCUUAUUUGCCCCUAUAGUAACCUUGUUGACCUGAUAAUCCUUAAUCUGAUGGUCUACCUGACCACAUUUAAAGAACUUAUCUUUACUUUCCUUACAGAAUCCCCAAUAAGGACGACCGCAGAUCCGACAAGAAGGGCAAGAAAAAACAUACUGAACUCCACUCGCCUGAGACUGGGCAACCUAAGCUUUAGAAUUAUCACCACCUUGGUGACGCCUAUCGCCCGACUGUUGUG
rnacentral:lncRNA from 1 species